AACGAACGCUGGCGGCAUGCCUAACACAUGCAAGUCGAACGAGACCUUCGGGUCCAGUGGCGCACGGGUGCGUAACGCGUGGGAACCUGCCCUUAGGUUCGGAAUAACUCCCCGAAAGGGGUGCUAAUACCGGAUAAUGUCUUCGGACCAAAGAUUUAUCGCCUUUGGAUGGGCCCGCGUUGGAUUAGCUAGUUGGUAGGGUAAAAGCCUACCAAGGCGACGAUCCAUAGCUGGUCUGAGAGGAUGAUCAGCCACACUGGGACUGAGACACGGCCCAGACUCCUACGGGAGGCAGCAGUGGGGAAUAUUGGACAAUGGGCGAAAGCCUGAUCCGGCAAUGCCGCGUGAGUGAUGAAGGCCUUAGGGUUGUAAAGCUCUUUUACCCGGGAUGAUAAUGACAGUACCGGGAGAAUAAGCUCCGGCUAACUCCGUG
rnacentral:rRNA from 1 species